rnacentral:rRNA from 1 species
AUUGAACGCUGGCGGCAGGCCUAACACAUGCAAGUCGAGCGGGGUUUUCGGACCUAGCGGCGGACGGGUGAGUAAUGCGUAGGAAGCUGCCCGAUAGAGGGGGAUACCAGUUGGAAACGACUGUUAAUACCGCAUAAUGUCUACGGACCAAAGUGUGGGACCUUCGGGCCACAUGCUAUCGGAUGCGCCUACGUGGGAUUAGCUAGUUGGUGAGGUAAUGGCUCACCAAGGCGACGAUCUCUAGCUGGUUUGAGAGGAUGAUCAGCCACACUGGAACUGAGACACGGUGCAGAUUCCUACGGGAGGCAGCAGUGGGGAAUAUUGGACAAUGGGCGCAAGCCUGAUACAGCCAUGCCGCGUGUGUGAAGAAGGCCUUCGGGUUGUAAAGCACUUUCAGCGAGGAGGAAGGGGUGUGUGUUAAUAGUACACACCUUUGACGUUACUCGCAGAAGAAGCACCGGCUAACUCUGUGCCAGCAGCCGCGGUAAUAC